CUCAGACUUAGCCUGUAAAAGGCAUUCACCUUAAGCUCAGUUUAUGUGCUAAAGAGUUGUUGUAAAUUCUUUCUUGUCUUUUUGAAAAUUGAGGCACGGUUCACCUCCACAGAUUCUCUUCUGGAUGUUUUCUUUCAAAAUCUUAGUCAGAAACUGUUUUUGAUUACAGGGAGAUAAAAAAUUAAGGUGUGAUUCUGCUGAUCUUCGGCAUGACAUUGACCGCCGUAGAAAAGAGCGAAGUAAAGAGCGAGGAGACUCAAAGGGCUCCAGGGAAUCCAGUGGGUCGAGAAAGCAGGAGAAAACUUCAAAAGAUUACAAGGAUUACAAAUCUUAUAAAGAUGACAGUAAGCAAAAAAGAGAGCAAGACCGUGCUAGAUCUUCUCCAUCUUCCUCUCCAUCUGCUUCUUCAUCCAGUUCUCGAGAAGAAAAGGAUUGCAAGAAAGAAAGAGAUGAAGAGUUCAAAACUCACCACGAACAGAAAGAAUACUCUGGUUUUGCAGGAGUCAGCAGGCCAAGAGGCACCUUUCAUGAUGACAGAGAUGAUGGUGUGGAUUAUUGGGCCAAACGAGGAAGGGGCCGUGGUACUUUCCAGCGUGGCAGAGGGCGUUUUAACUUCAAAAAGUCAGGUAGCAGUCCGAAGUGGACACAUGACAAAUACCAAGGGGAUGGGAUUGUGGAAGAUGAAGAAGAAACGAUGGAGAACAACGAAGAUAAGGACAGACGCAAGGAGGAAAAGGAAUAACCCUGGACGAAAGCUGAAAGAGCAGCUUUUGCACCACCCACACAACGUUUUUAAUAUGUUCUUUUUGUUGUCAAAUGAAUGUAAGCAUUUUACUUAAAUUUUACUGUUGGAAGUAGUUUAGAAGGAUUGUUUUUCUGUUUUAAGCCUUUAGGAAAAAAAAUCUUGAUAUAGUAAACUAUGUUAAUGAUCGUACAGUUAGAAAGUAAAAUAUUUGUAACAACUUUUAAGAAAUUUUACUGUUUGUUAUAUGCAGUGUAAUUCUGCUUUGUCCAAAUACAUGGUCAAGUACAACUCUUAAAAGUUUUGAUUCUCCCCCUAUGUCUGUGUUUUAUUCUGAAGUAAACUUCCAGCUCUGCACACCUGAAAUCUUGGAGGAGCAUUUUUUAUCAGCUGAUUGCUACUUCUGUGUUGCUUUUUUUAUUAAAAACGUUUUUAAUGAUAGUUAUCCAGUCAUAAUGUGAAUACAAAGUUAUGUAUGAGGUUGAUUAUACGUUAGUUCACAAGAAUCACAUUUACAGGAGGUCUUGAAAUGAUAGAUUGAUUCUUGAUUCUUCUUCUCACACUACAGAGAGAAAAACUGAAAGAUAGUAACUGUCACUGUUCUCUAGUAGCCUGAGGAAUACAUAUGUAUAUGAAUUCUUCAGUGAGAUUCAAGAUUAUUUCUCUUUUGGAAUGUGAAUUUUAGAAGCCUGUUUCCAAACCACUGGUGCUAGAAACUCUGAACAGGUCUGAAAACCUGAAUGCUCUCUGCCAUUUCUGCAGUUGGUAGAAAACUAUCUACAGCUGUCUUAAUUCUGUAACUUGUGUCCAGAACACGAUAGUCAUGUAUUGUGGAUACCUUGUGAUGUCUUCCGUCAUCAAAAGGCACUUCUCUUACCAAGGGUAACAUAGUACUAUGUUUAAGGUUUUUUAAACCUGUGGUUUAAACUCACUGCAAGAUAAAGGUGCUGUCCGUUAUUAGGGGUGGCAUUUUCAGGGCCGACAAGAUCACAGUUUCAGCUUUAAGUCAGUAACUUAAUCUUCCACAUUUUAGUUAAGAAAUUGAUGGCAGUAUCAAUGUUGUAUUUAUAUCAGUCUUGGUUUCAAUUUGUUAAAUUGCCUCUUUUUUUAUGUGGAAUCCCCUCUUCAGGUAAGUGAUCUGGCAAGAGUAAGUCUUUAAGUUUUCUAUCACAUCAGCAGCCUUAGGUGAGAUCUUGGAGGGAAAAUGCACACCAACCCAACACAUUCCCCUGAAAAUACAUAAAGCAAGUUACAUUAAAAUUUGAAUCAGUAAAAAUACUUAGAAUGUGCUAAAUGAUUAUAUGAAGUAUUCUGUUACCAUGCCCUGGAAAUACAUGCUCUUACUAUUCCACUUUAUCCAGUGUAUAAGUCUGAAGUUGUAACUCGAUAAAAGCUGUUAGCGGAGGGUGUGAGAAAUGAGUUAGUCCUUUACACUGAUUUUUCUGAAUAGUUGUGCCCUUUCAGUAUUGUAGUUAAAUUGUGGGAGUCAGUCUACAGUAUUUAAAAAAAAAAAAAAGUGCUUUGGUUAAAAUGAAAAUGUAUUUGUCUUAAAUACAUAUGCUCUUCUACUGGCUUUGUUAGUAGUUAACUAUCUGACCUAUCCAUGCUAAAUAAUAGAAGGCAAAAAACCAGCAUUCUAACUGUAUUUGAAAAAAAUGGAUUUCAGAUUGCACUACUGUACCAGCAUCUGUGUAGAAAGGGAAUUAGGAUUAAUAUUUGCCCUUCAGCGGUAGGUACUAAAGGAUAAUUUCUGCCUUACAUUUAAAGAAGUUUGGGCAGACUAUACCCUUUUUGCAAAACCUGCUUUUGUAUGUACAGUGCAUCUUUUAAUAACAAUUUGAAAUGUGAACUGAUUAUUUUUCUAAGUAAAUCUUGCAUGUAAUUUGUGUAUACUGAAUUAGAAGCAAGAAAAGGAGCAGAACAAUAAACUGGUAUACUGACAGAGUCA
ensembl:lncRNA